rnacentral:rRNA from 1 species
AUGACUAGGGAUAACCUUAGGAAGAGACACAUCAUCAAACCCCUUGAUUGUGUUUACUGCUUGGAACAAGAGUCUUGUUCUCACCUAUUUUUCUGUAUAGUUGCUAAACAUCUCUAGGCCCACAUUGAGGAAUAUUUCUCUAGUCAGAUUGGCUCAUCCUUCGAAUCUGUCGCCAGAUUCUGGAUUGCUACCAAAAAGUGCUCAGUUUUAAACACUGUUAGCUCAGCUGUCCUUUGGUGCCUCUGGAAAUAUAGAAAUGCUAUGAUUUUCAGUAACACCUCCUAGAUUUCCAUUCCGCAGGUCUUGAGGUUGAUCAGGAACAUGGUGAGGAACUGGGCGAUUCUCUCCUCCAGAUCGGACAAGGACAAGUUGAUGAGCUUCGUGGAAACCCUAACAAUAUCCCUCCAGAAACCGUUGGCGAUCACUUGUGGCUGA